rnacentral:lncRNA from 1 species
GGACUGUAGAGAAGGAAGGCUCCGGGUAAGAUUAGUGGAGUACAGAGGGAAAGGAAGAGUCAGUAUGUACAGACGUAUUAAAUAAUUUCAAUAUCUGAGUGUAGAAAGAUCUUAUCUUCAGGGAAGAAAGUCAAUAUUUAGAAUACCUUUGCCAAGUAAAACUUGAGACAUGCUUUCAAAAUCUAGUUUGUACAUACUUCCACAUAAAUUCACUGGACCAAAUCUUUCUAUAAAUGACUAUAUUCUGUAUUAUAGUUAUAAUUUGAUUAAACCUGGAAUUUCAAAGAAAUACUACAAAUUGAAAUAAUGCCUAAAUUAGCUAAUAUCAAUUUUUAAAUGCACUCUCUAUAAAGACUAGUGAAACAACCUCAGCUGAAGUUAAUUUAGAAAUAGAAAACUAUACAUAAAUAUAAAAACAAAUCUCUAGUAUUAAAUACACAAACAACUCAAGGAGAGAAGAGAUUCCUAGGAAAUGUUUCUAUAAAUAGUUUGACAUUAUUACACAAUCUGCUCUGCAUCUCUCGUAAUGGAAACAUUGCUACAGGUGAUUGAAGAAAUAA